rnacentral:tRNA from 2 species
GGCAAUAUAGCUCAGCUGGUUAGAGCAACGCAUUCAUAAUGCGUGGGUCGCAGGUUCGAAUCCCGCUAUUGCCACCA